ACUGAAGGGCAAGUCUGGUGCCAGCAGCCGCGGUAAUUCCAGCUUCAGUAGCGUAUAUUAAAGUUGUUGCAGUUAAAAAGCUCGUAGUCGCAUUUCUGGCGAGAGGAUCCGGUCCGACCUUUUGGUGGGUUC
rnacentral:rRNA from 1 species